UACGGAGGAUCCAAGCGUUAUCCGGAAUUACUGGGCGUAAAGAGUUGCGUAGGUGGCAUUGUAAGUUGAUAGUGAAAGCCUGGGGCUCAACCCCUUACACAUUAUCAAAACUGCAAAGCUAGAGGACGAGAGAGGUUAUUGGAAUUCCUAGUGUAGGAGUGAAAUCCGUAGAUAUUAGGAGGAACACCGAUGGCGUAGGCAGAUAACUGGCUCGUUCCUGACACUAAGGCACGAAAGCGUGGGUAGCAAACGGG
rnacentral:rRNA from 1 species